rnacentral:lncRNA from 1 species
AAAAAAAACAGGUAUUAUUAGCUAACUAGCUACAGUGCAGGCUAACUCAAAUGAGCUGCUAAUGUAGCUAGCUAGCUAUCUAGCUAACUUUUACAUACGGUAUAGAUAGCUAGCUAAGUGAAUUAAAUAUCUCAAGCUAACUAACUUCAUAUUAGCUGGCUAUCUUGAUGUAUUUAUCACUGUAAAAAAACAAACUCCAAAUGCAUUUGUAGGUAGCUAGCUAACAGCCAUGGAGGAGGGUGAAAGGAGAGCAGCCCCAACUGUUAAAGUGAGAGAGGAGGCUAUUCUGGAUAGGGCAGGUACUUUUGUGUAGUUCCAGUCCCUAGAAGUGAGGACGGAGAUAAUAAUAACAUAAUAUUCAGUGUUGUCUAAUUUGACCACAAUGAAGUCAUUUUCUUGUGAGGUUUUCUGUCCUCAGAUACAGAGAGCCUGUCUGCAGAGGAAGAGGUCCCAGUGAAGAGCACUGGUUCUCAGUCCUGGUCCUGGGGACUCAAAGGGCUGCACAUAUGUGAUGCUAUCCUUGAUGUGAUCCUGCUGUUGUCACGUGCUACACAUGCACAUAUACCUUGUAACUGGAGAUUCCUUCAAAACGAUUGCCUACAGAUAACAUGUAGGGCACUGCAAGGUUGGGUGACCAGGGUCAUCUGGGACUGCCUCCUGGGGGAAUUCAGGUGUGUGAAGGCUACCUGUGUCCUGCGUAACUUCAUGAGGAUGGACACGAGGACCAGGAGGGGAUCUGCAGCUCGCCGCCGUGUGCCAGAGGAGAAGUCUGUUGCUCUGCAGGAUGUUUCAAGGAUGGGGUCCAACAACGCAGCAAGAGAGGCAAUCUAUGUGCAAGAGAUCUUCACCUCCUACUUCUUCUAAGAGGGUGCUGUUCCCUGGCAACACAGUAGACUUCACUAUGCACAACCAAAGGCUAUUUUAAUUAAGAGCCAUUCACAUUGCAAUAAGAGUAUUCUUCCAUUUACUGAGCUAUGUCAACUGCAGUUAUUCAAUUCCAAGUUUAUUUCGAUUUGAUUUCUAUUUCUCAGGUGAGGGUGCUGUUUAGAUAAGGGUGUGACGUCUGUACAAAAUCAAAACAGGUUAUUUUAAGUCACCCAUAUUGAAAGAAAUGUAGAACAGUUAUUCACACUAUAACCCACACCUACACACUCAUGUAUCAAUCUGAUUGGUGGAUUGUGUUGUGCAGUAAGCAGGUUCAGGUGUAUAACUGUGGCUCCUUCCACCUUCAAAGAAUAGGCAAGAGGGCCAACCAUGGAGAAUAGUAUGACACUUCAUUAUUUCUAUAACUACGCUAUAUUGUUUGUCCUCAUGUGUCUGUGCAU